CGAACGUUAACGCACCUUCGGGUGUUAUUAAAGUGGCAAACGGGUGAGUAACACGUGGGAACGUACCUUUCAGUCUAGGAUAGCCCCGGGAAACUGGGAUUAAUACUGGAUAUUCUCUACGGAGGAAAGAUUUAUCGCUGAAAGAUCGGCCCGCGUUAGAUUAGCUAGUUGGUGGGGUAAUGGCCUACCAAGGCGACGAUCUAUAGCUGGUCUGAGAGGAUGAUC
rnacentral:rRNA from 1 species